rnacentral:rRNA from 1 species
UACGAAGGGGACUAGCGUUGUUCGGAAUUACUGGGCGUAAAGCGCACGUAGGCGGAUUUGUUAGUCAGGGGUGAAAUCCCGGGGCUCAACCUCGGAACUGCCUUUGAUACUGCAAGUCUCGAGUCCGAUAGAGGUGGGUGGAAUUCCUAGUGUAGAGGUGAAAUUCGUAGAUAUUAGGAAGAACACCGGUGGCGAAGGCGGCCCACUGGAUCGGUACUGACGCUGAGACGCGAAAGCGUGGGGAGCGAACAGG